rnacentral:lncRNA from 1 species
CUAUUAAAUUGUGUGCUCAUUAAUUAAAACGAGGUUCCUCUCUUUGCAUUUUGUAUCUCUAAACACCCAUCAGAUUGUGUGCACUGAGUAUGUACUCCUCACGCUGUGUGAGUUCAGCCGGAAGUCAGCGCCGCCCAGGGUGGGGAGAAGGAGAGAGCAGCGAAGGGAGCUCACAGGGCUGGAGGUAGCCGUGUGAGCGCACAAAUCCACUUUCAGUUUAAACUCCAAACGCAGACAGGGGACAAAAGAGCCUUAAAACUUCUCAUCACACGAUCCAGAGAGAAGGCAGCUCUCAGAACAAAGAAUGGAAGGUCCCCACAGAGCGAAUUCAGACUUGUGUGCGGCCUCAAGAGAAACGGGGAGCUGCCUCAGUCCAAAGCCGGAGUUCACGAGCAGAUUGGAGGAAGAGAGAAUAAAUACGAAGACGUCUGAGGUGGAGAGGGAGAGGAUCAGAAAAAGAAAUAGGCCUCAGACAUCAUAUGGAAGAGACAAAGAGAGAGAGAAUAAGGUUUCUCCUCAAACAAAACGAUGUAAGUAUGAAUGCAAAGUUUCACAUGCAUGCUCUCUUUAUUUGGAUAAAUUGCAUAGAAAAAAGAAGAGAACACCAUAUAAAUACACCAAAUAAAAGAGAUUAUGAACUUCCUAAAGGCAAGGCUUGUUUCCCAUUUAUCUUUGUAUUCUCAGCUUCUAGCACAC